rnacentral:rRNA from 1 species
CGAACUGGGCAACAUUAAUGGUAUAAUAGGUAUUAAGGAUCUGUAGGCAGUGACAACUAAUCACUAGAAUCAAUAGAAGAUAAUAGAAUGCUAGGAGGAGGGUUGAUAUCCAUUGAUCUCUACUGGAAUACUAAUGGCGAAAGCAGUUAUCUAAGUAAUGAUUGACGCUGAGGGAUGAAAGCAUGGGGAGCGAAACGGAUU